GAUGAAGAACGCAGUGAAAUGCGAUAAGUAAUGUGAAUUGCAGAAUUCAGUGAAUCAUCGAAUCUUUGAACGCACAUUGCGCCCGCCAGUAUUCUGGCGGGCAUGCCUGUUCGAGCGUCAUUUCAACCAUCAAGCCCCAGGCUUGUGUUGGAGCCCUGCGGCUGCCGCAGCCUCCCAAAACCAGUGGCGGGCUCGCUAUCACACCGAGUGCAGUAGUUUACUCUUCGCUCAGGGCGUGUGGCGGGUGCUAGCCGUGAAACCCCCAACUUCUCAAGGUUGACCUCGGAUCAGGUAGGAAUACCCGCUGAACUUAAGCAUAUCAAUAAGCGGAGGA
rnacentral:misc_RNA from 1 species